CGUCACCCCGACAACGCGGGAUGCCGAAGCGCCGCCGCCCGGUGGGCUUCAGCUUCAGCCCGCCUCCCUCCGAGGGCUCCCAGCAAGGGCCCAGAGCGAGGCUUUGUGGCUUGGCUCACGUGUGAGAUCCCAGCGUGCGAUGUGCACCACAACGAGGGCUUCUGGACUGCUGAAAAGAGAGCCAGAGAUGGGAAUUACAGCCCAAGCAAGAGCAUUAUGAAGGUACUUUGGUCUUACCGGCUUGGAGAAAGAUGGGGAUGCUGCUGAACUGCAAAGAGGGGGCCCUGGCAUCCUGCAGAAAUCCCCCCAGGCAGACAAAGCCUUCCAUGGCCUCCAGCAGCACUCAGACACCUGCACAGCACAACCCCAGCAUGUGUGCACAGGGGGUGACACCACAGAGUCAGUGCCAAGACCACCCCUUUUCAUUUCUUAGGUCAGGAUGACAAAAAGCAAGGCAGCAGUACUCAGUUUUCAGCUUGAAAUAUGUUGACCUGCUUAAAUGAAUACAUGUCUUCAUAAAAAAUACGCAGUCCUUGGAGCAGGCAUGAAUUGAAGCUUUGACAUUCAAAGAGGUAAAAGUCUGUGCUUCAGCCCAAAGAGGACCCGCCUCCAGCACUCCAGCAGGGCUCUGGGUUGUAUUUCUUUCCCGUGCUAAUUUUACUAAAGACACAACUCAUAUUCCUGUUGAUUGAACAGUUUUGUGUUGACAGCAUUGAAGAUUUGUGAUGAAACUUAUCAUCAGCGCCGAGAGCGGGCCAUUAGUACCAGUCACAGUGGCUAGCUGCUGCUGAUAUAUUUUAUGGCACGCUCCAAAGACAAACAUACACAUUUAUAUGUCACUUGUUGCAAUAUAAAUGCUAACUUGUACUUCUUUCAAAACUUUUAAUGAAUUGUAUACAUUUCAUGAGAUUUAUAGCGUGAACCAAACUGCUCAAAACAUUCCUUUAAACAUAUUUGUCACUUUGGCAACAGAACAACAAAAAUCUUGAAGGUAUUGUGUUUAGAAAUAAAUCACAAAUAUAUGCAUCCUAAAGGAAUUUAUUUUGGUCAUUAAUAGUUGAUGCUCCCCCCCAGGCCCCCCCCAAGCUCAGGAUUUAAAGUUAAAUUAUGCAAAAUCAAAAACAAACCUUAUAAUACUUAAUCAAACAUGCAUAAAGCUGUCAGGACCAAAUAAAUUCUCUCAAUUAACUUGCUUCAGAUUGUGAUUGCAUUUACUAAUUUAAUCAACACUAGAAUAAUUUGGAGAGCGGGUAAUGAUAAAUUGCCGUGGUGCUGCACAUGAAGAGCCGCCAAUGCAGCGUGUGCUGAGACAAGAAUGCAAGAAGUGCUUGCUAGGCUGGGGGCGAGAUGUAGUAGCAGCCGAGUUGUCACAGUCGUUUUGUAAUGGAAAUGUCUUCCUCCCAUUUUUCUGGGGUGGAUUUUUUUCCCAGUAAGAAGUGAAAACACGUCUCAUGGAUGGCUCUUUUCUGAACAAAUUAGUGUUCGCCCGUAGAGUCAUUCUCCUUGCAAUCUGGGAUGAGUUUAGAAGUGAAGCAUUUCAACGCAGGCAUCUGCUCCACCUUUUUUAUCAGUUUAUGAAUGAGACCUUUAGCUCUCUUUAGUGCUGGACGCAGGGCCGGGGCUGCAGCUUCCCAUCCUGCUCUUCAGCUCCAGUGCACUCCUGGAGCCUCGGCAUGCUGAGAUGUCCUUUAGCUCUGUCCUUUUGCACUUAGAAUGGAGCUGCUCUUACAAUAAAAUGGAUCUGACCUCUGUCUAGGAAAAGCUUUCAAUACUAUUACUUGUGAAGGACUAAACAUCUGAUUUUUGCAAGCAUAAGCAAGGUUUUAUGGAGAGGUUCUUUCACAGGUUAACAUGAAGGAGGCUGUGAAGUGUUCAACCCUGUGAAGUACCUGGAUCUCCAAAAAUCAAAUCCAAAAAUCCUUAUCUGGUCCAUUAGCUUUCUACAUCUGUUUUACAAAACAUAACGUUCAUAUGGUGACUGUGGGAAUAAACUCAUUGCAAUGCUCUUUCUUCUCCUUCUUCCCCCUUCUCUGCAAAAUAUACUUCACAGAGGACAGCUGAUCAUUUUUGUCACCUUUUAUUUGAAACAGAGGUUGUGCUGUACCGAGGUAUAGCUCUUAUACCAUUUGGUCAGCAGCAGAAAUAAGUGGAUACCGACCUGUGUGUGCUGAAAAUAGAUCCAGUACACAGCUCACAAUUUUCCUUCAGCGACCCAGAAACAACUGCUUGCACUGUGACUCUGUAGCCUUAGGAAGGUCUUAUAGCCAUCAUUCCAGAUCUUAAAGACAAUAAACAUGUUGAUGUGAGAUUUUACAAGCUAGCAUUCAUUGCUGGUUACCUCUCAUAUCUAAAAUCACCAUUCCAA